UCGGAUGUGGUGCACGGUGCACGUCAGCUCCUGUUAAUUCUUUGAUAAUAAUUGUGUUACAGGCUGAAGACCGGGGUUCGACUCCCCGCUUCCGAA